CCAGUCCUACGGGAGGCAGCAGUGAGGAAUAUUGGUCAAUGGGCGAGAGCCUGAACCAGCCAAGUCGCAUGAAGGAUGAAGGAUCUAUGGUUUGUAAACUUCUUUUAUAUGGGAAUAAAGUGAGGAACGUGUUCCUUUUUGUAUGUACCAUAUGAAUAAGCAUCGGCUAACUCCGUGCCAGCAGCCGCGGUAAUACGGAGGAUGCGAGCGUUAUCCGGAUUUAUUGGGUUUAAAGGGUGCGUAGGUGGUUAAUUAAGUCAGCGGUAAAAGCCCGGGGCUCAACCCCGGCGAGCCGUUGAAACUGG
rnacentral:rRNA from 1 species